rnacentral:rRNA from 1 species
UACGAAGGGGGCUAGCGUUGCUCGGAAUCACUGGGCGUAAAGGGUGCGUAGGCGGGUCGUUAAGUCAGGGGUGAAAUCCCGGAGCUCAACUCCGGAACUGCCUUUGAUACUGGCGACUUUGAGGCUGGAAGAGGUUAGUGGAAUUCCCAGUGUAGAGGUGAAAUUCGUAGAUAUUGGGAAGAACACCAGUGGCGAAGGCGGCUAACUGGUCCAGAUCUGACGCUGAGGUGCGAAAGCGUGGGGAGCAAACAGG